UACGUAGGGUGCGAGCGUUGCCCGGAUUUAUUGGGCGUAAAGGGCGCGUAGGCGGCUCUGCACGUCCGUUGUGAAAUCGCCCGGCUCAACUGGGCGGGGUCAGCGGAUACGGCAGAGCUCGAGCAAGCUAGGGGGCAAUGGAAUUCCCGGUGUAGUGGUGGAAUGCGUAGAGAUGCGGAGGAACACCGAUGGCGAAGGCAGCCCCCUGGGCUAGCACUGACGCUCAGGCACGAAAGCGUGGGGAGCAAACAGG
rnacentral:rRNA from 1 species